GAGGAAUAUUGGUCAAUGGACGCAAGUCUGAACCAGCCAUGCCGCGUGAAGGAUGAAGGCGUUCUGCGUUGUAAACUUCUUUUAUCUGGGAAGAAACCUACGAUUUCUAUUGUAGCCGACGGUACCAGAGGAAUAAGCACCGGCUAACUCCGUGCCAGCAGCCGCGGUAAUACGGAGGGUGCAAGCGUUAUCCGGAUUCACUGGGUUUAAAGGGUGUGUAGGCGGGUAUUUAAGUCAGUGGUGAAAUCUCCGGGCUCAACCCGGAAACUGCCAUUGAUACUAUUUAUCUUGAAUUCUGUUGAGGUGGGCGGAAUAUAUCAUGUAGCGGUGAAAUGCUUAGAUAUGAUAUAGAACACCGAUUGCGAAGGCAGCUCACUAAACAGACAUUGACGCUGAGGCACGAAAGCGUGGGGAUCAAAC
rnacentral:rRNA from 1 species